CCUACGGGGGGCAGCAGUGAGGAAUAUUGGUCAAUGGGCGAGAGCCUGACCCAGCAACACCGCGUGAAGGAAGAAGGCUUUCGGGUUGUAAACUUCUUUUAAGAGGGAAGAGCAGAAGACGGUACCUCUUGAAUAAGCCACGGCUAACUACGUGCCAGCAGCCGCGGUAAUACGUAGGUGGCAAGCGUUGUCCGGAUUUACUGGGUGUAAAGGGCGUGUAGCCGGGCUGACAAGUCAGAUGUGAAAUUCCGGGGCUCAACCCCGGACCUGCAUUUGAAACUGUUGGUCUUGAGUAUCGGAGAGGCAGGCGGAAUUCCUAGUGUAGCGGUGAAAUGCGUAGAUAUUAGGAGGAACACCAGUGGCGAAGGCGGCCUGCUGGACGACAACUGACGGUGAGGCGCGAAAGCGUGGGGAGCAAACAGGAUUAGAUACCCGAGUAGUC
rnacentral:rRNA from 1 species